AAAAGGUUUAUUCCAUUAAAUCAAAACUUACAUGGAUACAAUUUAAAUAAGAUAUUUUUUCUAUUUAAGGUAAUAUAAUAUAAAUAAGAUAUAUAUUUUAGUAUAACUCUCCUACAUUAACAAGCUUUAACACAUUCAGUGGCCAUGACGUAUGGGUAGCAUCACGAAGGUUUUACUGAAGGUACUGAUGAUGCAUAAGUUAUGUGAGUAGUACUGUGUAACUAAAUAAAUGAUUUAAGUAUGUGGUACCAGCCAAGUGGAGCUUGUUCGAGAUGGGCACCAAACAUGUUAAUCUGGUCAUGCACAGAGACUUAUACUAUAAUAUGUUAUAUCUCAUAUUGCUCACUCAUUACUACUGUAGUGAACAAUAUGAGAUAUACCUAUUAUAUAUUAUGGUAUAGCUCUCCAUGAGUGCCAAGUUUUAAACUUAACUGAUAACAACUAAUGGAUACCCUUUUAUCCAAAAUUUUAUGAAAAUUUUGAAUGGUCAUAUUGGUAUUAAUUCCACAACCCCUUCCUAUAACAAUAGGCCCAUUGUUGGAUGUUAUUGCAGUAGUUCUACUGGAAAUACUUACUAAAAUUGUAUGUAUCUGCAUCACUUAGAAGUCUACCCA
rnacentral:lncRNA from 1 species